rfam:Hordeum vulgare subsp. vulgare, WGS project CAJW01000000 data, contig: morex_contig_1568117
CUUGUACUCUCACCGUCCCAAAAUUCUUGUCUUAGAUUUGUCUAAAUACAAAUGAAUCUAGUUGUGUUUUAGUGUUAGAUACAUCUAUAUAUAGACAAAUGUAAGAAAGAAUUUUAGGACGGAGGGAUUAUAUA